rnacentral:rRNA from 1 species
AACGAACGCUGGCGGCAGGCUUAACACAUGCAAGUCGAGCGCCCCGCAAGGGGAGCGGCAGACGGGUGAGUAACGCGUGGGAAUCUACCCAUCCCUACGGAACAACUCCGGGAAACUGGAGCUAAUACCGUAUACGCCCUUCGGGGGAAAGAUUUAUCGGGGAUGGAUGAGCCCGCGUUGGAUUAGCUAGUUGGUGGGGUAAAGGCCUACCAAGGCGACGAUCCAUAGCUGGUCUGAGAGGAUGAUCAGCCACAUUGGGACUGAGACACGGCCCAAACUCCUACGGGAGGCAGCAGUGGGGAAUAUUGGACAAUGGGCGCAAGCCUGAUCCAGCCAUGCCGCGUGAGUGAUGAAGGCCUUAGGGUUGUAAAGCUCUUUCACCGAUGAAGAUAAUGACGGUAGUCGGAGAAGAAGCCCCGGCUAACUUCGUGCCAGCCGCCGCGGUAAAAC